rnacentral:rRNA from 1 species
AUUGAACGCUGGCGGCAUGCCUAACACAUGCAAGUCGAACGCAUGGCGGACGGGUGAGUAAUGUCUGGGAAACUGCCUGAUGGAGGGGGCUAACUACUGGAAACGUUAGCUAAUACCGCAUACCAUCAGAUGUGCCCAGAUGGAAUUAGCUGGUUGGUGGGGUAACGGCUCACCAAGGCGACGCUCCCUAGCUGGUCUGAGAGGAUGACCGGCCACACUGGAACUGAGACACGGGCCAGACUCCUACGGGAGGCAGCAGUGGGGAAUAUUGCACAAUGGGCGCAAGCCUGAUGCAGCAAUGCCGCGUGUGUGAAGAAGGCCUUCGGGUUGUAAAGUACUUUCAGCGGGGAGGCGGUACCCGCAGAGGAAGCACCGGCUAACUCCGUGCCAGCAGCCGCGGUAAUAC